rnacentral:rRNA from 1 species
AAUUCCUGGUGUAGCGGUGAAAUGCGCAGAUAUCAGGAGGAACACCGAUGGCGAAGGCAGGUCUCUGGGCAUUAACUGACGCUGAGGAGCGAAAGCAUGGGGAGCGAACAGGAUUAGAUACCCUGGUAGUCCAUGCCGUAAACGUUGGGCACUAGGUGUGGGGGACAUUCCACGUUUUCCGCGCCGUAGCUAACGCAUUAAGUGCCCCGCCUGGGGAGUACGGCCGCAAGGCUAAAACUCAAAGGAAUUGACGGGGGCCCGCACAAGCGGCGGAGCAUGCGGAUUAAUUCGAUGCAACGCGAAGAACCUUACCAAGGCUUGACAUGAACCGGUAACGCCUGGAGACAGGUGCCCCGCUUGCGGUCGGUUUACAGGUGGUGCAUGGUUGUCGUCAGCUCGUGUCGUGAGAUGUUGGGUUAAGUCCCGCAACGAGCGCAACCCUCGUUCUAUGUUGCCAGCACGUGAUGGUGGGGACUCAUAGGAGACUGCCGGGGUCAACUCGGAGGAAGGUGGGGACGACGUCAAAUCAUCAUGCCCCUUAUGUCUUGGGCUUCACGCAUGCUACAAUGGCCGGUACAAAGGGUUGCGAUACUGUGAGGUGGAGCUAAUCCCAAAAAGCCGGUCUCAGUUCGGAUUGGGGUCUGCAACUCGACCCCAUGAAGUC